rnacentral:lncRNA from 1 species
ACUAGGCAAACCCAAGAAAGAGAAUUGUAUUCAAGAGAUUCUAGUAGUCCGAGACUUCCCAAAUGUAUUUUCGGAUGAACUACCUAGACUGCCAGUGGACAAAAAAGUCAAAUUCAACAUAGACCUACAGCCAGGCACCUAGCUUAUUUCGGUUGCUCCUUACCGCAUGAGCCGUGUCGAGAUGAAGGAACUGAGGAAACAAAUCAC